GACAGCGGUUGCAAACGUUGUUCGGAAUUACUGGGCAUAAAGCGCACGUAGGCGGUUCGUUAAGUCAUGUGUGAAAUCCCUCGGCUCAACCGAGGAAUUGCGCCUGAUACUGGCGGGCUAGAGAUCGAUAGGGGUGAGUGGAACUCCAGGUGGAGCGGUGAAAUGCGUAGAUAUCUGGAGGAACACCGGUGGCGAAAGCGGCUCACUGGAUCGAUACUGACGCUGAGGUGCGAAAGCUAGGGUAGCAAACGGG
rnacentral:rRNA from 1 species